ensembl:lncRNA
UUUACUUAGUAUCAGCCAUUCUGAAGCGCUCUUCCAAAACUUAGCGAGACGCCUACUUAGACAUCAUUCAUCCGGUGCGUUCCCUGUUCCACAAGCAUAUGGGUAUGGAACGACAUGAGGUGGUUUUAAUACUCUUCAUCCCUCCCCCUCCACUUCCCCAUCUUCCAUUUUUCUUCUCUCUCCUGCUGUAA